ensembl:lncRNA
CCUGAGCGUUCCGGAAUCGGACCCGCAGGGUGGAGCAGUGCCGCCGAGGAAAAGGUGGGGGAAACGCAAGGGAGGGGCGGAGACUGCCCCGGAGCCGAGGCCACCCCACCGGGGCGAGCAGGAAGACUGACCGAGGCUCGGAGGGGUGGGAAGGGAGGCCAAAGGCGGCCAGCCGGGCCUCCGCGGGCGGCUUCCCGGCCCGCCCCGCCUCAUCGGAGAUAACCGAGCUGAAAUUAUUGCCCAUACCCGGACGCGGCCCGGAGAGAAGCAGGAGGUCCCUCUGCCCGCCUGGCUCCGGGCGCCCGCCCCUUCCCGGAGAUAACUCGCAGAUAGGACCGCGCGCAGAUAAGCGCUCGGGGCGAGGAAACAGCACCAGAAGUUGGUUCGCGGCGUCCCGGGAACCUGGGAGCAGCUCCAGCCCUCGCGAAGGGGAGGAGGGCGACACCCGCGGAGCCGAUCGCAGCUGGGAGAGCGCCGGAGGGCCCGGGGCACGGGACGCGAGGGAGGGAGCGGGGAGGGCGAGCCAAGGAGGAAGCGGCCGGAACCUCGGGCGGGCGCGGCGCAUGGAGCACGGUGGCGGCGGCGGAGAGGGCUCCGGGUGGCGCGCAGCGAAGCCGAGGGCGCCGGCGGCGGGAGAGCGCGAGUCCAGGGUCUGCGCGGCGCGGCUGGAGAAUAAAAAGGAGAGAGGAGGCGCCUCUUACUGCUCCGCCGGAAAACUGCAGCCUCUGCUCCUGAUUGGACUCACCGAGCCCUAAACAAACAGCUCUCGCCGAAGGGUGCCAGGCUGUGGGUCGGAACUGCACUCUGGGAGCAGCUGGGCGCGGAGGUGAAGAGGAGGCGGAGGAGGAGGAGGGAUCGAGGGGAGGAGAGCAAAGAGGGUGGGGAGGGGACGGCGAAGGGGAGGGGAGCGCGCCGCCGGACAGACAAUGCGCGCCGCGCAGCCUGCGGGCUUGGGCCAGGCCCCUCGUCUCUACGUCAGGGAGCGGGGACGAGCGCCCCCAGGGGGCGCCCAGCCCGGGGACGCCGAGGAGGGGCGGAAGCGACAGAAUGCCCAACCUGACUGGCGACCUAGAACCAGCCAGGCGCCCCCGGGUCCAGGCACACUCGCGUGCGCGCGCGCUCACACACCCGGCGAAGGGGGGGGCGCCUGGGCGCUGGGGGUGCACAGCCCGGCGCGUGGCAGGAGCGCGCCCUAAAAUGAGGGGCGUAAGUGCUUUGCCCCGCGGCCCCUUUUCUUCUCUCCAGUACGUGAGCCGUUUGGCUCUGCAGCGGUGUCUAACCGACCUUAAACUUUCCGCGACCCUAUUUCGGGAUGCUAGGGCUCAGGUCGGGGAGAGAAGGAGCCCAGGUCCCCACUCCACACCUCUCCCUGGCUCUUAAGAUACUCUCUAACUCCUCGGGAGGAUCGCAGUACCCAGCCGACCUUUGCGAACGUUUAACUCGGGGUUGCCCUGUGCAGAAAGCUUAGUCUGCGAGGUGCGCGAACCGGCCAGGGGUUUCCCCCACCAGUGGUGCCUGGGGACACCGUGCGUUUUGCCCUCGCGUGUACCGCGACUUUCCCGGGACCUCAGGUAAGGCGCAGAGAAGUCGUGGGGGAGGUGGCAUCUUCCCUGGGCCGCGUGCGAAAUCCGGGCUCCCCGCCCCCACCCGCGCACACACACCCCUUUUUCGCUGCCUCGCAGCUGUGUACGAACCGACACGGUCCUUGGCGACCAAGGGACUGGAACGGGCGUCGCGGAUUAUCACCGCCUCUGUCAGCAGCGCGGCGCGCGCCCGCAGACUAGUCCGCGCUAGCCGGGACCCCGGUCCGCUGCCUUAGCCCCGAAAAGGCCGUGUGGGGGCGGGGCGGGGCGGUGGGGUCAGAAGCGCGGUCUCGCGGGGGUGCGUUAGUGCGCCUCCCCUCCCCGGCCUCAUCGAAGUAAAUGAUUUUCCAAAGGUCAGUCUCCCUGUGCGCGUUUGGGCUCUGAUUUUUGUUUUGGGGUGGUUUUUUUUUAAUAUUUAUUUCUGUGCUUUUCCAGUUGGGGAAGGGAGAGGCGCCUGGGCAGAGCUGAACUGGGGUAGGGAGGUUCGUGGUAAAGCGGGGCUCGCAGGGACGGCGAGGGCUCUUCGCAAGCAGGGUUUCCUGGUCCUGGAACUCACUUUUAUGACGUCGCUCCUCGCCAGCCCCCGGCCCCGCGCGGGUCCCAGUCGCAGCGAGUUGGGAAAGGGUAAAGGUGGAAAACUCCGGAAUGGAGGGAAGACCGGCCACGGAGCCGGAUCCAGGGCUUUAAAUUUUAACCCGAGUUCGAUCGACUGCAGCCCCCAGAAAGGUUCCCACCGCGGCGUCCAAGGUUUCGCAGCGCUUCGGUCCCGGUCCCGUGGCGAGUUGGACCAAGUGUUGAAACGGACUGCAUUUUGCAAAGCUCGUGUGUAAGCAGUUACGUAAAUGUUCUGGACGCUUUAUUUCCUUUGAAUCCAAUUGUAUUUUUUAAAUCGUGUUUCUCAGAUUUGCUGCUAAAAGGAAUUUUUAAAAACAAUUUAUACUUGUUAAAAAUAAAUGCUUUGGUCAAGUUUGCAUCCAGGCCACGAACGGCCUCCAAGCCAGAGCCUAACUGAGCCCUGGCGCGAGCCUGACCCUGGUGCAGUGUAAAUUCUUUAUUUUUCCAAGUUUGGGGUGUCCUUGUGCGCUUGCUGGGACAACAGCUAAACCCCGCUGCCCUCGCUGUGGGCAGAGAGCAGCCUGGCGCCUCGGGGGCGCGGGGACGCCGCCCCGUCAAGGACUUUCGGGGUCGGGAAGGGACCCGGUAACUAUGGUCCAGACCCCGGUCACCCCAACAGCGUCCCAACAAAGGGAAAAUAGGUGUUUGUUCCUUUUUCGGGGCUUCUCCCCUCCAGACUGAUUUUCAAACCAAAUGAGGGAAUGGGGAGAGAAAUUUGUCAGUUGGGUUAAUUUUUAAAUAAAGGAAAACUGUUUAACCUGGACAGUGAUUAGGACAGAAACCAGGCUGCCAGACCUCUUGGAUCCACCUUUUGCGAGGUGUCGGCCCUGGCCCUGGGACGACGUCCUUGCCGGGCAGGGGCUCGCCUCUCGAGCCGACGCCGCCGUGCGCGGAGGCCAGCAGAGUCCGGGGUGCGAGGGAAGGGCGCACCCCAAGCCGGGAGAACCCAAGGAGGCUGGAGAGAGUCCCGAGCCCCAGGUGGACGGGACUCGCCUUUCUUUCCUUGCUUUUGUUUUUCUUUCUUCAGAGGUCCUCCCCCUCUCCUCCGGCCUCUCCGGGGCCGCUGGGGCCCCGCUGGCCCUGGCCGAGCUCUGCCUCGGCAGCCGGGCCUGGCGCGGCCUGUCCCCGCUGAUUUAUUUGGGCCGCAGGGCGGCAGCCAAUGGGGCAGGGGGCGGGGGGCUGCGCCGCCCACACGGAAGGGCUGGAGACCCAGGCGACGCGUCUGGCACCCGC